AUGCUACUCCCUCCGAUUCAUAUUACUUGUCGAAAUAUUACAUGUAUCUAGACGCUUUUUAAACAUAGAUACAUCCAUAUCUUGGCAAAUUUGAGACAAGUAAUAUGAAUCGGAGGGAGUACCUA
rfam:Brachypodium distachyon strain Bd21 chromosome 5, whole genome shotgun sequence.